rnacentral:rRNA from 1 species
GUCUACGGCCAUACACCCUGAACGCGCCCGAUCUCGCCUGAUCUCGGAAGCUAAGCAGGGUCGGGCCUGGUUAGUACUUGAGAGAACAAUGGCCUAGAGU